GAUGAAGAACGUAGCGAAAUGCGAUAAGUAAUGCGAAUUGCAGAUUUCAGUGAGUCAUCGAAUCUUUGAACGCGCAUUGCGCCCGCCAGUAUUCUGGCGGGCAUGCCUGUUCGAGCGUCAUUUCAACCAUCAAGCCCCCGGGCUUGCGUUGGGGCCCUGCGGCUGCCGCAGGCCCCGAAAAGCAGUGGCGGGCUCGCUGUCACACCGAGCGCAGUAGCGAUUCUCGCUCCGGGCGUCGGCGGCGGGCACCGGCCGUGAAACCCCCCCACAUCCACAAGGUUGACCUCGGAUCAGGUAGGAAUACCCGCUGAACUUAAGCAUAUCAAUAAGCGGAGGA
rnacentral:misc_RNA from 1 species